rnacentral:rRNA from 1 species
AAGUCGAACGGCAGCACGGGAGCAAUCCUGGUGGCGAGUGGCGAACGGGUGAGUAAUAUAUCGGAACGUGCCCAGUCGUGGGGGAUAACGCAGCGAAAGCUGUGCUAAUACCGCAUACGAUCUACGGAUGAAAGCGGGGGACCGUAAGGCCUCGCGCGAUUGGAGCGGCCGAUAUCAGAUUAGCUAGUUGGUGGGGUAAAAGCCCACCAAGGCGACGAUCUGUAGCUGGUCUGAGAGGACGACCAGCCACACUGGAACUGAGACACGGUCCAGACUCCUACGGGAGGCAGCAGUGGGGAAUUUUGGACAAUGGGCGCAAGCCUGAUCCAGCAAUGCCGCGUGCAGGAUGAAGGCCUUCGGGUUGUAAACUGCUUUUGUACGGAACGAAACGGUGAGCUUUAAUACAGUUUGCUAAUGACGGUACCGUAAGAAUAAGCACCGGCUAACUACGUGCCAGCAGCCGCGGUAAUACGUAGGGUGCGAGCGUUAAUCGGAAUUACUGGGCGUAAAGCGUGCGCAGGCGGUUAUAUAAGACAGAUGUGAAAUCCCCGGGCUCAACCUGGGACCUGCAUUUGUGACUGUAUAGCUAGAGUACGGUAGAGGGGGGAUGGAAUUCCGCGUGUAGCAGUGAAAUGCGUAGAUAUGCGGAGGAACACCGAUGGCGAAGGCAAUCCCCUGGACCUGUACUGACGCUCAUGCACGAAAGCGUGGGGAGCAAACAGGAUUAGAUACCCUGGUAGUCCACGCCCUAAACGAUGUCAACUGGUUGUUGGGUCUUCACUGACUCAGUAACGAAGCUAACGCGUGA